CGUUCAACUAACCGAGUCACCCAGACCCCCCUCCCCGCCCUGUUUUUUAAAGUCGUGCUGUGAGCAUCAUCUUUUUCUUAGGUGAAAUUCUUGGAAGUGGAACUGAAGAAUUCUUGGGCUGAAGAACACAGAUGUUUGUAAAGCUCAUGAUAUACAAUACAGAAGUGCUCUCUAGAAAGGUUGUGUGAACUCCUGUUCCUGCCAUCAGCUGAAAUAUUUUCAGUACCCUUUUUGCCAAGUUAGAUGGUAGUAUUAUUGUCAUUAUUAUCUUACAUUUCUUUCACUAGGUAUUUGUCUUUUCCCUUUCCUAGUCCCUGGUACACACGCCUAUUUUAGUAUGAUCCCCCUGAAUCUCAUGUAAAUGACAUUUUUUUUCAUUCAUUGCUGAACGAGUGUUUAGACGAAGUGAGUAUUGUUUAAAGUGGUAGUGUCUUUUGUUUAAGUAACUCAGGUAAGAGUGAAUGUUCUUUCCCUCCUGUCCUGCUCACUGCAAUAGCCAUGAACACGUUGUUUGGUAUUCUUCCGGACCCUUUAAAUAAUCAUUUAAAAAUAAUACGAUGGCUGAUAUGUUCUUGUUGUAAAAAUGCAAACAGUAUUCAAAUGUAUCUAUGAGUUCUUAUUUCUGGAGGACAUCUUAGUAUUCUCAUUAGUAUUCUCUGAAUGCAGAAUGCUUUUUAUGUUUACCACUAGGACACGGAUAUGUCCACACGGGUAUAUGCUGAUCUGUUCAAUUUUUCAAAAUGUCUGCAAAGCACUCUCUGUCCUGCUUAUCUGACUCUAGUCAAAAUUGAUUAGCUAUUCCCUGUUGAUGGACGAUUGUCUCCAACUUGUUAAUACUGUAAUUUGGUAUAUUCAACACCUUUUUACCUAUAUUUUUGCUCAUUUGUAUGUGGAUAAAUAGCUCAAUGUCCAGUUGUUGGGGUGAUUUGUUUAAAAAUACUAAUGCGGUCAGUAAACAAAGCCAGAUAAAGUUAAGAUUUGAGACAAUACAGUUGUAAUCUCUCUUCUUCCCCCAGUGGUUGACUGAGGUAUUCCAGCAUAAAUAAUAAAUGUGCUUAAUUAAAAAUGAAAAUUAACCAAGCAAAAGAAGCCCGGCUUCAGUUUUAAAUUCCUAUUUACAAACAUUAAUUGUGUCUUGUUUUUUUUUUCCCUGCCUUCACUGUGAACUUUAAUUUUUAACUGUAACCCAAACCACCUUUAAAACAAAUCAUUUAUUCCAAAGGUUUGCGAUGUCAUAAUUGCCUGGUUAUUUGGAUGAUGGAUGUGUCAUAUCUGAAAACAAACUAGUUAUCUUGCAAAAUUUAUUUCAACAUGCAUUAUCCGAACCACCAAAGAUGGGAACACUGCAUGGAUAAAUAUGAUAAAAACCAUGAUGGAUUUAGAAGCCUGGUGCUCAGGUGAAAUCAGACACGUGUUGGACGCACUUGUAUUGAUGGUAACCUAGCAUGUGAUCUGAACUGGUAAGGCCAUCUUACCCGCUUGCCUCACGCAAUGCUGAAUCAUUUUCAGAUUCAACGGGUGUUGGAAUGGACUCUUCACAUAUUAUCAAUCAAACCUGAAAACAUUUUCUCACAGAUCUGUGCCCAAGAGAAGACAUUUUUCCUGGAAUGGCAUUAAAAAAAGAAAGAAAGAAAGAAAGAAAGAAAGAAAGAAAGAAAGAAAGUCAAGUAUAAUGUAUGUAACUCUUGUGUUCUUGGUUACAUUUUUUUUUUUUAAACCUUAAGACAUUAUUAUUGACAUUGAUGUUUGAAGUCUUUCCUCUUGAGGAACUACCUAUUACUUUUUUCAUAACGGCCUAGGCUUCAACAGUAAUAUUUUGUGAAUGAUGAUGGCAAAAUUUAUGUUCUUGGAACUUCAGACUGUGAUUUAUUCUAUUUUGAACCUGAACGGGAACGAUUCUUUCCCAACGGAGUGGCCAUGCCUCACAUUUACCCUAGCCACACCAUCAACGAAUUUUGUCUUAAAAAACCAUGGUUGCCUGAUCGUGUUUUAUCAUCAGUAAUUUCAUCUGAGUCACGAAGCCCACGGAUUUCCUCACGCUCUGCAUACACUUAUUUAUUUACCUUUUCGCUUGAUACUUUGGGGAAGAAGAAUUUGGAUUUAGGAUAAACAA